rnacentral:rRNA from 1 species
UACGGGGGGGCAAGCGUUGUUCGGAAUUACUGGGCGUAAAGGGCUCGUAGGCGGCCAACUAAGUCAGACGUGAAAUCCCUCGGCUUAACCGGGGAACUGCGUCUGAUACUGGAUGGCUUGAGAUUGGGAGAGGGAUGCGGAAUUCCAGGUGUAGCGGUGAAAUGCGUAGAUAUCUGGAGGAACACCGGUGGCGAAGGCGGCAUCCUGGACCAACACUGACGCUGAGGAGCGAAAAGCCAGGG